rnacentral:lncRNA from 1 species
UUGUCGGCGCCGCUCAUCUCCGCUGCGGUGGAGAUACAGGGGUUGUUGUUGCGCUGCGGCGGCGGCGGCGGGCAGGAGACAUCAAAAGGCCGAGCCGGGGCGGCGGGGCUGGGGGUUGCCGGCGGCCGCGCUGCCCACCCUGCCGGCCACAGGGACGGCGCGGCGCGGGAGAGGAGGGGGAGCUGGGUCUGAUCGCCGGGGCGCGGGUUCGGCCGGCGGCGGAGGCGAGGGCGUAGGGUUUGGAUUCGGCGUGGUUUAGGCGUCGGGGAGGAGAGAGAGAGAGAAGGGGUGGGGGGGUUGGGAUUUGGGAAGGAAGGAGGCGUGCGUGCGUGUGUCUAUCGGUCUCUGCGGGCGGGCGACUUUCUGGUGGGCCGGGCUGAGGUGUUUUUACUUGGACUCGUUGCGGGCCGUGCCGUGCGGUUUUUAUCCGUGCUAUUCGAAUUCUUUUUCUUAUGGUAAUGGUAAUUUAUAUUCUGUUGAAAAAACAUUUAUCGUGUGACAUGGAAAUUCAACGGUUGAUAUGGCGCAGCAACAUUCUACACAGAAACAAUAACGUUGUAGCGAAGUAGUACUACUAUGUCUUUUUUUCUUUUUUUUUAGAAGAGUACAUUUUUGGUCCUCAAUUGCACUGGAGUUUACAACUGGUUUUUGGUCAGUCCCUCGCUUGGUAUAUAGUUUUCGUCGGUCUUCCCGAUCCAGUCGGUUUUGAUGACUCCAUGUGAUGCGGUACUGCUUAGAACUUUGCCACGUAGGAUGCCACGCUGGCGCAUGGUUGUUUUCAUACCAACUGUACCGCCGCGGUGCCGGUCAGGCCGACCAUGUCACGAACCGUGACGUACCUGGGCCACUUGACACUAGCGACGCCCAGCCCAGAAGGAGCACCCGUCCCAGAAAGGGCAUCAUCCGAGAUUUAUGAAGCCCAAGCCCUUUUCGGUGACGUCUUUGACUAGCUACUUAGCCGUCUUCGUCCAAGAUUUGCGUGUUGUCGAUGAACGGAACUCUCUCAAGCACAAGCAUGCUCUCAUGUAAUUCUCUCCUCCUCCCCCGAAUUCAUCCUUCUUCUCAGUGAAUUCGUGUAUCUCAUCUAUAUACCGUCAGCGUACAACAGAAGUGGCAACACGGCGGACGCGUAUGUUGACAACUCGUCGAGGAAGCCAUGCGCGCCGCGUCGCUCGUUGACUCCAGGGAAGCCUAUGGUUACGAUUCGACGGGAGAGAGAGGGGUAGAGAUAGAGAGAGAUUAGACAUACUAACUCCGAUCUUAAAUUCUUGUUGUGGUUCUACUUCUAUUUGAACUAGAAUUUAGGAUCAAAGGGAGUGGAACUUACCUCCCGCUGGUAUAAAAACGGCAAGUUACUAGUGUAGCAUCCUACGUGGCAAUGUUAGGCAAAACCGCGCCACGUGGAGUCAAACCACUUCAUGCCGAUUGGAUUAGGAGGAACGGACCAAAACUAUCUGAUUUUGUCAAUUGAGAAACUAAAUGUUUAUGAAUUAUGAAUACGAGUUUAGUGGCUACUUUUUAAACCUUCUGUGUCAAUUGAGUGAUCAAAAAGAUACUUUUCUCGCAACUUCUUUUGUCGUGGCUAUAGUUUCAUAGCUUAAGUUCUGGGUCUUUCAUUUCCGACGGAAAUCGUAGUACUAAGUUUAUUUUCUUGAGAGGAAGUACUUUUGAAAGGGGAUUUUGCGAGGAACUACUAGUUAGUUAUAGAUGUAUUGUGCUCUCGUCUAAAAAAAAGGUAAAGAUGCAUUGUGCUCGCUAAUAUGCAUGUCUGGCCCAACCCUCCUUUUCUCUCUCAUCAGGCACGCCUAAACUGCCGUGUGUCAACGGAUCUUAGGGUGGGUUUAGUUGGCGCCCAAACUUGCCGUGCAAAAUAUUUGGUCUUCGCUUGGUUGGUUGUCAAAAAUUGGUUUCCUACGAAACUGACUCCCUUGCCUCACAAUCUUUCACAACUUUUGCCAAAAUUUGGCCAACAUGGGCCAAGAAACCUCUAACUAGAUUUUUGGUUAGCCAAUUGUCAGUAAGAAUUGGUAAGCUAUGAAUUGGCAUGAACAAAAGACAACCUUAGCUCCCUCUUCGCUGAGCCAUCAGGCCGUCCAUAUACAAUGACUUCCAUUGAAUUUUGCCUGCGUUUGUUCCGCAAUGUGUUAUUCUCAGCAGCUAAAGUAGUAAUUAGUUGGUAAUAGUCAUGACCCAUGAGUUAAAAAUUUAGAAAUUUAUUACAUAUGCUGAGAACUCACAGAGAACAUUGAAGUUUGAGCUCUAAAUCCUAGAUCCUCUGAAUACAUGUUUCCUCAUGGACCUCUAAUCUGUCUCCCAGGAAAACAAAAAAAAUCCGCCAACCAGAAUAGCAACACACUCCAUGGACACCAUGUAGAACACCCAACGUUGUUCAGGUCCGAGGUUGAUAUACAUCUUAACCAUGAAAUUAGUUACCGAAAUCAGCAUCGCAAUACCAAGUAGAAUACAUAUCGUCACAUUGACCUGCAUGACAAAAAUGGCAAACAUGGCAAAAAUGUUAUCAAGGUAGCAAUGAAAUAAACAGAUACACAGCGUGUCAACUACUAUAACAGGCAUACUUUAAAAUAAGUGGGCAUACGACACUUGGCAUCAACCUAAACACAUCGAACUCACAAUCGUUAUGUAAAGUACUACUCAACAUAUGGCUCGUGAAUAAAACAUUGCUACCUUGAUAAACACAUCGAACUAACAAUAGUUUUAUUCAUCAAAAUCUGAUACAAUCACGUGAAGCUUCUCCUUCCCUUGGAACGGUCAACCGAACAACCAGCGAACAAGAAGAAGAGAUAGGUCAUUCAAGAUUAAAAAUCUUACACAAUUGCCUGGUGAGGGAGUUCGGCGGCGACGUCUCGCAGGCACACCCACCUUCACCUGCCCCGUGUCGUAGCCGCUGCUCCUGCUCAGGCACCUCCGAAAGGCUUCAGCAUUCUGAAGUACAAGUACCAACAUAUCAACAAUACCAACCAAAAGGAAAAUGCAAACUGUUGACAAUAUGAACAUUAUGCAGGGUUAUAACUGUUUGAAAAUGAAUUCCACACAAGACUGCAUAAAUUCUUAGAGCAAAUCUAAUGCUUAUUCCGCCAUAAUCCAACUACAUUACAAUAUUGUUUUCAAUUGUUCACACAACACUGAACAUAGAUGAUGAACAAAGCAAACGCAAGAAAAAUUGCAAGUACAAGCCUCCAAAGUGCAUCACCGAAGAACUAGAUAAAAGAUCCUUAUUAGCAUUACCUUGGAUUUCCGUACCUGCUUCACUUGACCUGCAAAUCAACAAAAGGAAGAUUAAAACAAACCGUGUGCAGCCAAGAGGGGAUUAGGGUUCAGAAAUUCCAAAUCCUGGGUUUCCAAUAAAUGGUGAAAAGUGGGGAGGCAAGCACAGGAUAAAGAGGGGAGGGAAUUUUUGACAGGCACUCCUGGGGAAACCACGGCUUCAGUCUUCUUAGCAUUAUUGACAGGCCCAGCUAAAGGGACCAUAGCUUCAGUUUUCUCUACAUUGUUGACAGGAAUUGUAACUCCAGUCUUCUUUACAUUGUUGACAGGCCCAGUUGAACCAACCAUAGCUCCAGUCUUCUUACUGUUGACAGGCCCAGCUGAAGGAACCGUAGCUCCAGUCUGUGUUACAUUGUUGACAGGCUCGGCUGAAAUAGCCGUAGCUUCAGUCUUCUUUACAUUGUUGACAGGCCCAGCUGAAGCAACACUAGCUUCGGCCUUCUUUACUUUCUUGAGAACAGCAUUAUUAGAAGAAACAUUGGCAGGGGGAGAUCCAUUGAACAGCACAGGCCCACCAUGUGUCACCCUUUGCAACUUUGUUCUGGCCAUAGGUUGAUUUUGGAGGAUGAACAGCGCCUUCAGUAACAGGAUUCAAUACUUCCUCUAAGCUGAGGACAGAAAACUUCAGCGACCCAAACUGGAUCACAGGUAAUUCACGUGCUUUCUCCACGCUUUCAGUAUUACUUAUACCAGGCUGCCCCUGGAACAACUUGGUCUCGUCCUCCGUGAAGGACCCAAACAAAACAACCUGCAGUACAAGAUAAACUAUGAUGAGAACAAAGAACUUUAAGUAAUAGCAUAGCUUGUGGUACAACCAAACAGCAGCUGCAUCAAGAUAUCCUUGUCCCCCCCCCCCCCCCACCCCAACAACACACAAACAGAACUGCAGAGGCACAGACUCUAAAUCCUUUCUAUACAAAUUUUAAGGAGGGAGGCGUCUUUUUUUUUCCAUCCGCCUAUCAACAUGACGGCCGCACUCCAUUCAAAAGACAUAAACGGAGCACAAAGUGUUACAGUAAUGUAAAAAGCAGAAAUAAGACUAGAAACUACAGGUCUCUUAGAAAGCAGUAAAAGGAGAACGAGAAAAUAACCCCCUCAGCUGAACCAAUCAGCCGACCCCGCGCCACGCGCCCCAAACAUUCCAGCGAAGUUUCGCAAACAUUCAUUCAUCAAUAUACAUCACACGAAUAAAACGUCAGAAGAUUUGCUAGCACAUCCCAGUGCCUCGCCAGUCUUGAACAUCAACACAGCCUUCUUAACAUCACAGAACUGUAUAAGCACAGACUCUAGAUCCUUUCUAUACAAAUUUUAAGGAGGGGGGCGUCUGGGUUUAAGAAAAUAUCAAGCUUCAGCUCUAAAUCCAAUUUGAUACCCUUGUACUCAGCAUACCUUCCUUCCAAGCAACAACAGCAUAAGUACAGACCACCAAUCCAACCCCCAAAAUUCCUUCCGGACCCUACUACCGGUGCUAUGUAAUCUAGUAGCCACAAGUAGGCUUCACAGCUUGCUCACGCACGCACGCAGUCAGUAGCAUACAUCAGCAUGGCUGCUAGCUACUACGCCCUCCCCAACCAUCAACACCCCACCAUGCUUCUGCGCCGCAGCACAGCAGCAGCAGCAGAAGCAGCGACAGGAACCAGAAUCACGCGGAUGAAUCAAUUCAGUGAAUGUCAAACGAGAGGGGGCGGAUGGAUACUGCUACUACCUUGUCGGUGCCGCUCAUCUCCGCUGCGGUGGAGAGACGUCGGGCUGCGCGGGGGUUGUUGAGCUGGGGAAAAAGGGACGGCGCGUGGCGGCGCGCGUGAGGAGGAGGGGGGCGCUGGGUUUGAUCGCCGGGACGCGGGUUCGACCGGCGGCGGAGGCUAGGCCGGAGGGUUUGGAUUCGGCGUGGUUUA